CACGUUUUACCAAUUUAUUUUUCAUGAAUAUACAUCCACGUACAGUUAUUGAGUACAUUAGUAUUUUGUAGCAUGGCAUUUUGCUUUGACAACAGCUGCUGAGGGGAACCAGAAAGACCCCUGCUGCUUCAACCGCUCACCAGACAACUAACUAACCGACUGACCGGUGAUCCGGACUGAGCCGGGCCACGAGACACGGGAUACUGCGGCGGUGGGGCUUUCCGGGUGAAAAUAUUGCUCUAUCUGCUUCAGACCUGCUGGGCUGCGCUACGAGUGAGAGGAGACGAAGACUACCUUCCUCUGAACACACACACACACACACAUUCACAGUGAUAGGCCUGCCAAACAGAGGUGGUGUUUCACCACAAACAUCACUCAGGGCAGAGCUCAGAAACCAGCCAAUCAGAGACUAGCUAAACUGGCUCCUCCAAUUAGGUUCUCUCAUUCAAAAUCUAAUCCUCCAAUGAGGUCGCUCGGAUCAUUGUAAGUGCAUUCCGUGGAGCAAAGAACCCACCUGAAGAACGCCAAGCCAGUUAAAAGUUGAGCAUUGGUCGAAUCGACGGAAAAAAUAAACACUACGGAUACAUGGCGAAAACACAAAGUGCUCAUAGAAAAGAAAGGAGUCAUGCAGCAGAGCGCCGACUAAACGGAUGGGGAAUAUGCAUCAGUCUCCACCGAGCUUUAAACAUCCUCUCAACCUAAAACAGCCAACGUUUUCGUGGAAUGUUAACCGAAUGAAUCUCUCCGGACGCUUCUCCUGUAAACCGGACCGUCUUUCCACAGCUGUUGUCUAAGAGCAAUACAAAAGACUUUACGAGAACCCAACUAGUUUAGCGGUGAAGAAACAAGUGUCAUGCUUCGAGGGAUUUUCUGCAUUCUAUCUAUUUAUACAGAGGAAAACGAAAGAAACCGAUCUAGUAAAAUACUAUGCGUCAUGAGCCGCGGCUCCCGAUAGAGGAGGUGUGUGGUGGUUUUUCCUUUUUCUUUUUUUGUAACAAAAAU